CUUGCUGUGCACCCAGCCUGAAUAUAUAUAUAUCUAUAUAUAUAUAUAUAUAUAUAUAUAUAUAUAUCAAGUCCUUUAUCAUUGGCUGCUGUUGAAAACCUGAUGUGCAUACAAAAUGAGGCAGAUUGUGAUUGCACAAAAUUGAUAUAACUGGUUUCUAGGUGUGCACAUAUAACAGACAGAAUCUCAUUAUAAGCAAAUCACCUAGUCAAAUAAAAAUCACUUGGCAACAAAGGUGAAAUAACUUGUGAAAAUACAAUGUAUAAUAGUAAAACAUAAUCCAACAAAUAUAUCAGGGUUGCAUUGUACAUAUCACUUAGAGAUAAAACUAAACUAAUACAAAUACCUGCUCUAUAUAGAAAACAUACACCAAUAUAAAACAAGAAGUUCAUGAUUCCUUCAAGUACCAGCUCAAAAUCAAACACAUAAUAAAGAGAAACAAAGUGAAAUUGGCAGCACUAUUCAUGUAAGUAUUGAAUAAAACCAAAUAAUAUAAUGAACAUGUUGAAGACCAGCACUAUUUAUAAAAAAAUUAAAUUAAUGAGCUAUGAAUACAGACAACUUUUAAAGGCAUAGCAGUCAUAACAAAAAAAUCAUUUAUUCCUACGAAGGGCAGCAAUAUUCAAGUAAAAAGCAACAGGUGAAAUGCGUGUACGAUCCCUAUUCAAAUAAGGAGCAAAAAAAGGCAGAAAUCUUCAUGUAAAAAAAAAAACAUUUUAUGAAGAGCAACAAUAUUCAUGUAAAAAGCAAAAUGCUUACUG